rnacentral:miRNA from 8 species
CAGGAUGCCGGCCGAUAUUGAC